rnacentral:snoRNA from 1 species
UGUGCCCUGAUAGGGUUGUACCAAUUGUUGAAAUACUAGUACUUUCCUAUCAUGUGGCAAAUAGCUGAUGGCCCAUGUUUCAUUCCCUGUGAACACGGCCUUGUGUCCAGACCCUCUGAGACCUCCCCCUGAUCUAGGAACUCAUGGAUUGUUUUUGGGCCAGCAGA